CGGUGAGGUAGAGGUGCGGACAAGAUAAGUAGUCAACAGGAGAAUGACAACGAUGAUUGUUGAUGAAAGGAUUGUUUGCCGAAGUAUAAUAAGGGGUCAAACUUAUUAUAACUGGUAUAUCCUUGAAUAAGGGGUAUACUGUCAUGCAUAUGUGUUGCAUGGAGAACUACUGAUCGA
rfam:Bacilli bacterium VT-13-104 contig029, whole genome shotgun sequence.